CAAACAUGCCUCUGUGACCUGAGGCUCUUCCUGCUGCCUGGAACGUUCCUCUUGGGCUGAAGUAGGACCAACUUCUUAUUCUUAAGGUGAUGAUAGACAAGUCCCUUAAGCCUUCUGAUCAGCAGCUUCUUGAACUCUAAAAUGGGAAAUCUAAUAUUAAAGAUAUCCUACAACAUGGACUGUUGUGAAAACUAAUAAAGACAAAGCCUUCCUUCUCAAGCACUAUGAAGCAUUCAGUGCUAAGUACAAUGAAAAUAAUGUGGCCAGAGGCCUCGGGCCUGUGCCAGAUGGAACCAGCCUUGGCCACUCUUUCCCAUAUUGCUGCUCCCAGCUGACAGAGGUUUGGCUGAAGAUUCUGCCAGGACCCGUGCAUCAGUAUUCCCACAAGGAGCUGCAGGGCACACACAAGUGUGUGCUGAGAAAGUCCCCAAGAAAGAUGGAACCCACAUGGGGGCAUUGCUGAUGCUGUCCCAGAAAACAAGCCCAGGGAUUUUCCCAGCUCUAUACAUUGCUUUGUGUUUAUCAGUGCUUUGACUAGCAGCUAUUCAUUUGUAACAUGAAACUCUUAAAAUAAAAUCUUUUUUAUUUUA